rnacentral:rRNA from 1 species
UGUGAGCUCGAUGAGUAGGGCGGGACACGUGGUAUCCUGUCUGAAUAUGGGGGGACCAUCCUCCAAGGCUAAAUACUCCUGACUGACCGAUAGUGAACCAGUACCGUGAGGGAAAGGCGAAAAGAACCCCGGCGAGGGGAGUGAAAAAGAACCUGAAACCGUGUACGUACAAGCAGUGGGAGCACGCUUAGGCGUGUGACUGCGUACCUUUUGUAUAAUGGGUCAGCGACUUAUAUUCUGUAGCAAGGUUAACCGAAUAGGGGAGCCGAAGGGAAACCGAGUCUUAACUGGGCGUUAAGUUGCAGGGUAUAGACCCGAAACCCGGUGAUCUAGCCAUGGGCAGGUUGAAGGUUGGGUAACACUAACUGGAGGACCGAACCGACUAAUGUUGAAAAAUUAGCGGAUGACUUGUGGCUGGGGGUGAAAGGCCAAUCAAACCGGGAGAUAGCUGGUUCUCCCCGAAAGCUAUUUAGGUAGCGCCUCGUGAAUUCAUCUCCGGGGGUAGAGCACUGUUUCGGCAAGGGGGUCAUCCCGACUUACCAACCCGAUGCAAACUGCGAAUACCGGAGAAUGUUAUCACGGGAGACACACGGCGGGUGCUAACGUCCGUCGUGAAGAGGGAAACAACCCAGACCGCCAGCUAAGGUCCCAAAGUCAUGGUUAAGUGGGAAACGAUGUGGGAAGGCCCAGACAGCCAGGAUGUUGGCUUAGAAGCAGCCAUCAUUUAAAGAAAGCGUAAUAGCUCACUGGUCGAGUCGGCCUGCGCGGAAGAUGUAACGGGGCUAAACCAUGCACCGAAGCUGCGGCAGCGACGCUUAUGCGUUGUUGGGUAGGGGAGCGUUCUGUAAGCCUGCGAAGGUGUGCUGUGAGGCAUGCUGGAGGUAUCAGAAGUGCGAAUGCUGACAUAAGUAACGAUAAAGCGGGUGAAAAGCCCGCUCGCCGGAAGACCAAGGGUUCCUGUCCAACGUUAAUCGGGGCAGGGUGAGUCGACCCCUAAGGCGAGGCCGAAAGGCGUAGUCGAUGGGAAACAGGUUAAUAUUCCUGUACUUGGUGUUACUGCGAAGGGGGGACGGAGAAGGCUAUGUUGGCCGGGCGACGGUUGUCCCGGUUUAAGCGUGUAGGCUGGUUUUCCAGGCAAAUCCGGAAAAUCAAGGCUGAGGCGUGAUGACGAGGCACUACGGUGCUGAAGCAACAAAUGCCCUGCUUCCAGGAAAAGCCUCUAAGCAUCAGGUAACAUCAAAUCGUACCCCAAACCGACACAGGUGGUCAGGUAGAGAAUACCAAGGCGCUUGAGAGAACUCGGGUGAAGGAACUAGGCAAAAUGGUGCCGUAACUUCGGGAGAAGGCACGCUGAUAUGUAGGUGAAGUCCCUCGCGGAUGGAGCUGAAAUCAGUCGAAGAUACCAGCUGGCUGCAACUGUUUAUUAAAAACACAGCACUGUGCAAACACGAAAGUGGACGUAUACGGUGUGACGCCUGCCCGGUGCCGGAAGGUUAAUUGAUGGGGUUAGCGCAAGCGAAGCUCUUGAUCGAAGCCCCGGUAAACGGCGGCCGUAACUAUAACGGUCCUAAGGUAGCGAAAUUCCUUGUCGGGUAAGUUCCGACCUGCACGAAUGGCGUAAUGAUGGCCAGGCUGUCUCCACCCGAGACUCAGUGAAAUUGAACUCGCUGUGAAGAUGCAGUGUACCCGCGGCAAGACGGAAAGACCCCGUGAACCUUUACUAUAGCUUGACACUGAACAUUGAGCCUUGAUGUGUAGGAUAGGUGGGAGGCUUUGAAGUGUGGACGCCAGUCUGCAUGGAGCCGACCUUGAAAUACCACCCUUUAAUGUUUGAUGUUCUAACGUGGACCCGUAAUCCGGGUUGCGGACAGUGUCUGGUGGGUAGUUUGACUGGGGCGGUCUCCUCCUAAAGAGUAACGGAGGAGCACGAAGGUUGGCUAAUCCUGGUCGGACAUCAGGAGGUUAGUGCAAUGGCAUAAGCCAGCUUGACUGCGAGCGUGACGGCGCGAGCAGGUGCGAAAGCAGGUCAUAGUGAUCCGGUGGUUCUGAAUGGAAGGGCCAUCGCUCAACGGAUAAAAGGUACUCCGGGGAUAACAGGCUGAUACCGCCCAAGAGUUCAUAUCGACGGCGGUGUUUGGCACCUCGAUGUCGGCUCAUCACAUCCUGGGGCUGAAGUAGGUCCCAAGGGUAUGGCUGUUCGCCAUUUAAAGUGGUACGCGAGCUGGGUUUAGAACGUCGUGAGACAGUUCGGUCCCUAUCUGCCGUGGGCGCUGGAGAACUGAGGGGGGCUGCUCCUAGUACGAGAGGACCGGAGUGGACGCAUCACUGGUGUUCGGGUUGUCAUGCCAAUGGCACUGCCCGGUAGCUAAAUGCGGAAGAGAUAAGUGCUGAAAGCAUCUAAGCACGAAACUUGCCCCGAGAUGAGUUCUCCCUGACCCUUUAAGGGUCCUGAAGGAACGUUGAAGACGACGACGUUGAUAGGCCGGGUGUGUAAGCGCAGCGAUGCGUUGAGCUAACCGGUACUAAUGAACCGUGAGGCUUAACCUU